rnacentral:rRNA from 1 species
UAGUUGGUGAGAUAACAGCUCACCAAGGCAACGAUGGGUAGCCGAACUGAGAGGUUGAUCGGCCACACUGGAACUGAGACACGGUCCAGACACCUACGGGUGGCAGCAGUAGGGAAUAUUGGGCAAUGGGCGAAAGCCUGACCCAGCCAUGCCGCGUGAGUGAUGAAGGUCCUAGAGAUUGUAAAACUCUUUUCUGAGGAAAGAAUGAAUAGGGAAGGAAAUGUCCUUAUUUUGACGGUACCUCAGGAAUAAGGAACGGCUAACUCCGUGCCAGCAGCCGCGGUAAUACGGAGGUUCCAAGCGUUGUUCGGAAUUACUGGGCGUAAAGGGAGCGCAGGCGGAUAGGUCAGUCUAAAGUGGAAAUCCGGGGCUCAACCUCGGACUUGCUUCGGAUACUGCCUGUCUUGAGUUCGUGAUAGGAAGAUGGAAUUCAGGGUGUAGCGGUGAAAUGCACAGAUAUCCUGAGGAACACCGGUGGCGAAAGCGGUCUUCUGGCACGAAACUGACGCUGAGGCUCGAAAGCGCGGGUAGCAAACGGGAUUAGAUACCCCGGUAGUCCGCGCCGUAAACGUUGUGUACUAGGUGUAGGAGGUAUCGACCCCUUCUGUGCCGCAGCUAACGCAUUAA